rnacentral:rRNA from 1 species
UACGUAGGGACCAAGCGUUGUUCGGAUUUACUGGGCGUAAAGGGCGCGUAGGCGGUGCGGUAAGUCACUUGUGAAAUCUCUGAGCUUAACUCAGAACGGCCAAGUGAUACUGCAGUGCUAGAGUGCGGAAGGGGCAAUCGGAAUUCUUGGUGUAGCGGUGAAAUGCGUAGAUAUCAAGAGGAACACCUGAGGUGAAGACGGGUUGCUGGGCUGACACUGACGCUGAGGCGCGAAAGCUAGGGUAGCAAACGGG